rnacentral:rRNA from 1 species
UACAGAGGGGGCAAGCGUUGUUCGGAAUUACUGGGCGUAAAGGGCGCGUAGGCGGCCCGCUAAGUCGAACGUGAAAUCCCCGGGCUCAACCCGGGAACUGCGUCCGAUACUGGUGGGCUUGAAUCCGGGAGAGGGAUGCGGAAUUCCAGGUGUAGCGGUGAAAUGCGUAGAUAUCGAGAGGAACACCUGCGGCGAAGGCGGGUUGCUGGGCCGACACUGACGCUGAUGCGCGAAAGCCAGGGGAGCGAACGGG